rnacentral:rRNA from 1 species
GGCGUGCUUACACAUGCAGUCGAACGGAAAGGCUCCAGCUUGCUGGAGUACUCGAGUGGCGAACGGGUGAGUAACACGUGGGUAAUCUGCCCUGCACUCUGGGAUAAGCCUGGGAAACUGGGUCUAAUACUGGAUAUGACCUUUCUCCUUAUGGGGUUUGGUGGAAAGUUUUUCGGUGUAGGAUGAGCCCGCGGCCUAUCAGCUUGUUGGUGGGGUGAUGGCCUACCAAGGCGACGACGGGUAGCCGGCCUGAGAGGGUGAUCGGCCACAUUGGGACUGAGAUACGGCCCAGACUCCUACGGGAGGCAGCAGUGGGGAAUAUUGCACAAUGGGCGGAAGCCUGAUGCAGCGACGCCGCGUGAGGGAUGACGGCCUUCGGGUUGUAAACCUCUUUCAGCAGGGACGAAGCGUAAGUGACGGUACCUGCAGAAGAAGCACCGGCUAACUACGUGCCAGCAGCCGCGGUAAU